CACCGGCCCUCUUUCUCCCAAUCCCCGCAGCUGCCGCGCCCGGCACACCUCCCUCCUCCACUCCCCCUGCGCCCUACCCUUCCCCGCCGAGCUUGUUCCUCUAGCCACCCACUCGUCUCCUCCUCUUCCUCCUCUCUCUCUCUCUUCUAGCUUCCUCCUCCUUCCUGAUCUCUGCAUCGGCCGGACCGCGAGAGGAGCGGUGGUGGCGGAGACGCUCCGGUGGCGACAUCGAGUUGCGAACCCCAGGAACCAGGUCUGGGGGUUCGGUUCCAAGGCACGGACGGCUUCUCCGCCUAUGACGCCGAGGGGAAGUGCACACCCUAGUCCCCUCCUCCUGCGUGAACCCUAAGAGAGAGAGAGAGGAAGAUGAGAGGGAGGGAGAGAGAAUGACCGGCGUCGGCCUGCGCCGGCGAGGACGGGCGCGACCUGGAGGUUGGCCGCUGCUCGAUUUGCUCUUGGAUCGGGAGCUUCGACGAAGCUGGGAUUCGGGCGCGUUGCACCGGAGGCUGCACUCCACCUCUUCCUCGUGGUGCGGCGGACGGCAGCUCUUGCAGUCGUGCGGCUGACGGCGGCCUCAGCGGGUGGUCGACGACACUUGCAGCUGGUGCUCUACCCAUGGAUUCCGGCAUAGCCCGAAAUACUCAGAUAUUUGACUGCAUUACUGAAUGUUCUAGGGUUGGAGCAGCAGCUGAGCUUAGGGCAAGACAAGCACAUUAGUUUAAUCCUGAACUUACAGGAUGGUUUCCCCUGCCACAACCAUUGUCAUCGGCCUGCAUUCCCUCGUCAAGCGUGCAUCGGUGCUGGAUAUGCAAGCUGCAACAGCACAUCAACGGGAAGGCAAGAGCAAGACGAUGGUCAUGAUUUUUGCCAAGGAGUGGAAGACAAUGUUAACUAAAGCCACUUUUGUUGGUCAUGGAUUUACAAGAAAGCCAGUAGAGUAUGAAAAGGUUCUCAUGGGACUCACCCUAAACUGAAAUCUAUCUUCAACCUUGCUUAAACUGAAAGCAAUGCAUGGUAUUGUUCAAUUCGAAGUGUACUUGACGUGUGCAGAUCUGAGGAUGAAGGGAAGAAGACAGAAUUUAGCUAACGAGUUGAAUAAGAUCAAGGUUAUUAUUCCACAAUCAUUUGUUGCAUCCAUUAUGUGUUCACCCAAUCCAUCUCUCUCUCUCUGCUGGCUGCCGCCACACGUGGACGGUAGUGGUUCAUUUUCCUACAACUUUUGGCAUUUCUACAGUUUUAUCAUGUAUAGCUUGAUCCAGAAAAUGUAGAGAAGAAAUUUUUGCAAGAGAAAUAAAGUGCAUAGGUUACGCCUCUUAAUUUUUCUUCAACUGUUUUUGGUAAAAUUGCUUACCUAGGCAUCAGUAUAUUUUGUGACAGGAAUCUGCACUAUGUUCUUAUGCUUUUAGCAAUACCAAUCUUAUUUUGUUUCUUGGUGGAAUUGCUUACCUAGGCAUAAAAAUGCGAAAAAAAUCUGCACAAUGUUCUUAUGCUUUCAGUAAUGAGCGCCUUGUUUAGAUUCUCGGGGUUUUAGCCAUGCUGACUUCUGAAUAAUUAUUCAUUCAUGAUAUUCACUGUAGAAUUGCUUACCUAGGCAUAAAAAACGUAAAGAAGGUGAGAUUGGCUACAGUUUUGAUGUACUUUUGUAAUGUUUUCCUGUUUGUACAUACUUUAUUUGUUUGCUUGAAACUGCAUUUUAAUAUGUGCUUGUAGGCUCUACAGGAUCCAGUGAUGGAUCUGAGUGUGAGCACUCGAGUUAUAGGUUUCUUCUAGCAUGUUGACACACUAAUUAGAUUCAGGAAUUAUUUGGUACAUCUCAGCUUUGCGGCAUCAUGUGUAGAGGGUCAUGUUAAUAAAUAUAUCUGGCCUGCACUUAGAUGUUCUUUUCUUGUAAUUGAUAACUCAUACGAAUUCUGCAACAUAUUGUGCAUAGCGAUACACCUCUACUGAAAUACUACUUUCUUAUUCCCAUUUCCAUCCGACACCUGACUUUACAUCAUUUCUAAUCUCAUCUUUUCUCCUGAAUUUUAGUCUGCUUCAGUAAUGUUGGGGCCUGCCGCAAAACAACCACAUUUUUGCUGCUGUGAUUUGGUCCAUCCUAUGCAUUUCAGUUCCUGGUGAUCUCCAACGUUUGUCAGCUAAUGCCACCAUGAGGGUGCUGGGCUGCUAAUGGCAUGCUACCUGCUUUGAAAAAAAGGAAUGAAAGGAAGCAUUUGUUCAUAGAACAAAUAUAUUCAUUGUCUGUUAAGAUAAAUAUCCCUAUCCUCUGUUUGUUUCUUGAUUAUUCUCUGUGAACUUUUGUUCUAUGUGCAGACAAGUUUCCUCCAUGUCAUGUCAACAUCCCAUGGUGAUGUAUGUGAAAGAUUGAAAGUGCGGUACUACAUAAAGACGCGCCGCAAUUAUUGUUGCAUAAUCAAAACUUUUAUAACAUUAACUUCCAUUGUCUGUUAAUAAUUAAUUAUCUCGGGUAAAAUCUAUUUUUCUAUCUGAUUGAUGUGGUUAGUUUGAUUUAUAGUAGAAUAUCAACAUUCUCCUUUAUGAUGGCUGAUGGGCAGUGUGUUUCGUCCAAGUGAUAUGCUUCCUGUAUUGUUAGAGAUGUCUAUUUGGCUUAUGAUCGUACUGUUGAGCACAUCUUACCCUUGUGCUGAAGAUAAAUGGUACUAAUCAAUCUGCUAAAGCUUUGUGAUGUGAAAGUGCAUUUGGUAGGAAGGGUUCUGCAGAUAACCCCUUUAGAUUUUGUCCCUUCAAGAUUUUUUUUGGAUCAAGCCAUAAAUUUAAACAGGAAUCCUUCAGUGGCUAUUUUUUUUAUCCACACACUUUCUAAUGUCUGGUCCUCUUAACUUAGGAUAAGCUUUUUACUGUCUUUGUUUUUUGAUUAUCAUCAACAAUACUAGUUCUGUUGUCCCUUAGGCUGUCAAUGCUGAUGCUAUUUCAAUGCUGAGAAGCGAACUCAGAAAUCAGCUCGCUAACAAGAGUCGGAAUUCGAAUCUGAGGCAAGUUUCACAUUCCCCAAUUUGUCUAUUGAACCCAUGGUCUCUCUUUCUUCUGCAUUAUUUCUCAUUCAUUAUCUGAGAUAUGAUUUUGACUUCACUGCACCGUCUUGUCUGGUUUAUAAUGCCGGUUGAGCUCAUUUCUAAUUGUUCAUAACUAAAUUUUUUGUUGUGAUUUUGCAAGAUAUUGAAAUUAUUGUAUUUCGAAAUUGUUUUACUGAUUCUCGAUGCUCUGUUCAUGGCUUUUUUUCUUAUUUUAUCCUUCUUUGCUUUUUUCCUUUCCUGCAAGAAGAUGUCGAGUCAUGUAAUAUGUUCAAAGAAGAGAGAAUCUGGACUUUAUGAAUCCUUUCUUCUUUCUUCAUUGUUACUUCAAGUUAGUGAAUUCAUUUAAGUUGUAUUGAGCAGCUUCAUGUGCAUGGUUUCUUCAUCUACACAUCUUAUUCAGUCACGAGGCGAGUAAGAUCUUUUGCCUUUUAGAAAAAGGGAGAUGCCAUUUAGACCUUACUCUUCCAACUUGAUCUUUAACUUGCUACUACUGUUUCUAAGAUUUUUACCAAGCAUUUUUUAUUUGCUUCAUAGAAUGAGCUCACCUUAUUCAGUGGAUGUGCCAAGUAAAAAAAAUUAGAAACUGAGCAAUUAG